CGCAGUGAAGAGUCCCAAGCAACUGUUUACCAAAAACACAGGUCUAUGCUAAGCUGGAAGGCGACGUAUAUGGGCUGACACCUGCCCAGUGCCGGAAGGUUAAGAGGAGGAUUGAGAGAUUCGAAUUGAAGCCCCGGUGAACGGCGGCCGUAACUAUAACGGUCCUAAGGUAGCGAAAUUCCUUGUCGGGUAAGUUCCGACCUGCACGAAUGGUGAAAUGAUUUGGGAGCUGUCUUGGCUGGAGACCUGGUGAAGUUGUAAUGCCGGUGAAGAUACCGGUUACCUGCAGUAGGACGGAAAGACCCCGUGGAGCUUUACUGUAGCCUGGCAUUGGGUUCUGGCAAUGUGUGUAUAGGAUAGCUGGGAGGCAAUGAUGGUAUGGCGUCAGCUGUAUCGGAGCCGCUGUUGGAAUACCAGCCAUGCAUUGUUGGAAUUCUAAUCUCAAGAGAUGGGAGACAGUGCUAGGUGGGCAGUUUGACUGGGGCGGUCGCCUCCAAAAGAGUAACGGAGGCGUUCAAAGGUUCCCUCAGGCUGGAUGGAAAUCAGCCGGAGAGUGCAAACGCAAAAGGGAGCUUGACUGCGAGACUGACGGGUCGAGCAGGCACGAAAGUGGGAGUUAGUGAUCCGGCGGUGCUGAAUGGAAAGGCCGUCGCUCAACGGAUAAAAGCUACCCCGGGGAUAACAGGCUGAUACUUCCCAAGAGUCCAUAUCGACGGAAGUGUUUGGCACCUCGAUGUCGGCUCGUCUCAUCCUGGGGCUGGAGAAGGUCCCAAGGGUUGGGCUGUUCGCCCAUUAAAGAGGCACGCGAGCUGGGUUCAGAACGUCGUGAGACAGUUCGGUCCCUAUCCACUGCAGGCGUUAGAAUAUUGAAGGGAUCUGUCCUUAGUACGAGAGGACCGGGAUGGACGGACCACUGAUGUACCGGUUGUCACGCCAGUGGCACGGCCGGGUAGUCACGUCCGGAAGGGAUAACCGCUGAAAGCAUCUAAGCGGGAAGCCCACCCUGAGAUGAAUGUUCUUUCAAGCAUCCGCCGAGAAUAGGCGGUGAUAGGCCGGGGGUGUAAGCAUGGUAACAUGUUCAGCUGACCGGUACUAAUAAUGCGUUAGCUUACUUCA
rnacentral:rRNA from 1 species